AUGAAGACAUCCAUUCACACUUUACUCCUGUUCUUGUGCCUGUGGAUGGACUGGGAGAGCCAUGGAGAGCAGGUGGAACAGCAGCCUUCCACUCUGAGUGUUGGAGAGGGAGACAAUGCCAUCAUCAACUGCACUUACACAGACAGUGCUUUCUCAUACUUCCCUUGGUACAAGCAAGAAGCUGGGAAGAGCCCUCACUUUGUGAUAGACAUUUUUGAAAAUGUGGACAGAAAGCAAAACCAGAGACUUACCAUUUUAUUGGAUAAGAAAGCCAAAAAAUUCUCCCUGCACAUCACAGCCACACAGCCUGGAGACUCUGUCACCUACUUCUGUGCAGCAAGUGCACACUGGUUCCCAGGCACCUGA